CUUCGGCGGGCCCGCCGCUUGUCGGCCGCCGGGGGGGCGCCUCUGCCCCCCGGGCCCGUGCCCGCCGGAGACCCCAACACGAACACUGUCUGAAAGCGUGCAGUCUGAGUUGAUUGAAUGCAAUCAGUUAAAACUUUCAACAAUGGAUCUCUUGGUUCCGGCAUCGAUGAA
rnacentral:misc_RNA from 1 species